AGGAAAACGGCAGACCAGGGUUGUAUUUAUUGGGGGUGUGAGUGCCGCGCUGUAGGCUGUGGGAUGGUCGGGAGAGUGCAAGGUGUUGCUGUUAGGUGUGGUUGGGUUUACAGAAAGGGGAAGAGCAUGCAUAGAUAGAAUGGUGGAGUGAGGAAAAAAAAAGAGAGAGAUGGAAGGAUUGGUCAUGCGCAAGACCGCAGGCCGUUGGAGGCAGCUUAGAAAUCUCUUACAUCUGGAACAGCCAUAAUUCGUGGGAUUUGGCCUGACAGCCAUGACAGGCACUGGGGCGGCCAGCAACAACUGUCUCCUGUGUUAGCAGCAGUCUGUACGUUAGCUCCGUGAGAGAGAGGGAGAAAAAGAGACAGAGAAGGAGAGACAAAGAGUGUCAAUAUGCAGAAGCCGUGUGUAUACAUUCAAACUUCCACUUUAUCCCGGGAGCUCAUGGAGAUUAAACUCACCUCAACAAUGUAUGUAGCCUGAGCUGGAAUGGAUGAAAAUAUUUACUGUGUACACACCAUCCACAAAUCCUUUCCCUCUCUUGAUCCCUGGCUUUUAUUGUUUCCCUUCUCUCCCUGCUUUUUACUCCUGUCUUUGAACACGUGCACGCUCUGACACAGAUACGUGAAGAUAUGUGAAUAAAGGUGUUUCUAACA
ensembl:lncRNA